rnacentral:tRNA from 1 species
GGGGAUUUAGCUCAGUGGUAGAGCGCUUGCCUAGGAAGCGCAAGAACCCUGGGUUCGGUCCCCAGCUCCG